rnacentral:lncRNA from 10 species
UAGAUCGGAGCUGUUCCUAUUCGGCCAUCUUGGCUCCUCCGCUGGUCUUGUUUAUUUUUCAUCGCACAUCAGAAUAUGUUCCUCAGAAAUAUAAAUGUGAAUAGGAGUAUUUGCAAAGAGCAAGGUCUUGUUUUCCCAUCAUUUGGCAACAUCAUACUUGGAACAAUUGAUGUUGGUGACACUGAUCUUGGGAAAUCACCAAUGAUCCCCAGAAUUCAGAAUCCAGUGGUCACAUCCAUGUCUUCAUUUUGUAUAAAAGGAGUGAUAUUUUAUAAAAGGAGUAAUUACAAAGAAAAUGUUGGUGGGGAUUUGGCAAGGAAGAGCUCGGGUAUUCAGCAGCAUCUGCACAACGACAGCUUUGCCUGGCGAGUGACAGUCGGUGUGGAGACUUACUCAUUAGUGAGACAGCACAGCCACUCUCAGCAUGGCUGGGAAGGCCCACCUGACACCCUGUGGUGGAUUAGUCACCCCAUCCAAGUCUAGCUGCCAGCAGGAAAGUGAGACUAUUAAGCAAAAUAGUGCAUUGGCAGGGGUAUUAAACAUAAAUCAAUGAACAAAUUACCUCCAUAAAUCAGUUCACUGAGCAGAGCUUUAGAGCCUGUGCCCAGUGUUUGAUAAAACAAAUAAAUGACAAGCACAACAACCGUUUUCUCCAGAACAUUUUACACAUUUACCUUAAAUGAGUUCCAACUUGUGACCAAGACAAAAUGUUUGCCAUCUUUUUAAGAAUGUAUUAUGAACGAAUUCACUGAUGAAUGAGCAUUCCUGAGAACGCACCCACACUAUGCUGGGCAGUAGAUCCGCAGAGAAAGGCAUGGGACGUGUAACCACUGCCUGGCUCAUGUUCUGAAACUCUCCCUGGCUGAGGACCAUGGGCUGGGGACGCAUCUCCUCUGCACCUCCGCUUCUUCACCUAGGCAGUGAGGUUGGUAAUAAUAGCUACUUCAUACAGUUGUUAUGAUAACUAAACGGGUCCAUUUGGUAACAUAUUCUUAGAAAAGUGCUCAGCAAAUUUUUUUAUGGUUGUGGAGGGGCGAUGAUGCAGUUGGAGAGGGGAAAUAUAUAGAAAACAAAAUUAAAACGUAAAGUUCCAAGUGUGGACUGCCACAAGACUACGGAGGAGGGAAAGAUAAAUUCUGCCUGGGAGCAUCGGAAAAUUCUCCCCAGUUUGAGCUGAGUCCCAUUAGUCAAAGUCCCCUAUACAGAGAAGGGCUGAAGGGCACAAGUCAAUGAAGACACUAUUAGCACAGUGAGAAAAUGACUAGUAGAGAAAAAAGGUUUCUCCUGACACAGUUAAGACAUCUGUGUACCACACAUGUAUGUGUUUGUGUGUUUGACUGUGUGUGUGUUUAUGAGUGUGUAUGUGUCUGUAUGUGUUUGUGUGUGUUUGUGUGUGCUUGUGUGUGUGCUUGUGUCUGUG